rnacentral:rRNA from 1 species
UACGGGGGGGGCAAGCGUUGUUCGGAAUUACUGGGCGUAAAGGGCUCGUAGGCGGCCAACUAAGUCAGACGUGAAAUCCCUCGGCUUAACCGGGGAACUGCGUCUGAUACUGGAUGGCUUGAGUUCGGGAGAGGGAUGCGGAAUUCCAGGUGUAGCGGUGAAAUGCGUAGAUAUCUGGAGGAACACCGGUGGCGAAGGCGGCAUCCUGGACCGGCAUUGACGCUGAGGAGCGAAAGCCAGGGGAGCAAACGGG